AAACAAAUAGGUUUGGUCCUGGCCUUUCUAUUAACUCUUAGUAAGAUUACACAUGUAAGCAUCCCCGCCCCAGUGGAAAUGCCCUCUAGAUCCCCCAGAUCAAAAGGAGCAGAUACCAAGCACACACAAAGGCAACUCAAAACAGUUUGCUCAAUCACACCCCCACGGGAAAGAGCAGUGAUAAAUCUUUAGUAAUAAACAAGAAGUUAACUAUGGUCUACUGAUGUCGAGGGUUGGUCAAUUUCGUGCCAGCCACCGGGGCCAUACUCAACCCAAGUUAACCUAAUAGAACUCGGCGUAAGGAGUGUUUAAGGUCCCUAAAUAAAGCUAAACUCUAAGUCAUCAGAAAAAAAAUGAACUCCAGAUGAAAGAAAAUAUACUAUGAAAGUGGCUUUAAUAGCCUAAAGACACAAUAGCUAAGACCCAAACUGGGAUUAGAUACCCCACUCUGCUUAGCCCUAAGCUCUAAUAGUUACAUUAACAAAACGAUUCCCCAGAAUACUACAAGAAAUAGCUUAAAACUCGAAGGACUUGGAGGUGCUUUAUAUCUCUCUAAAGGAACCUGUUUUAUAAUCAAUAAACCCCGAUAUACCUCACCACCUCUUGCCCCCAGCCUAUAUACCACCAUCUUCAGCAAACCCUAAAAAAGUUAUGGAGUAAGCACACAUAUUUUCAUAAAAAUGUUAUGUCAAGGUGUAGCUCAUGAGGUGACAAGAAAUGGGCUACAUUUUCUGUAUCCAGAAAAACUUACAACAACCUUUAGGAAAUUUAAAGGUUCAAGGAGGAUUUAGUAGGAAACCAAGAGCAGAGUGCUUAGUUGAAUAAGGCCAUGAAGCAUGGACAGACUGCUCACCAUCAUCCUCAAAUAUUGCUCUAGAAACUAUUAUCACUAAAAACUGUCUAUGCACAUAUAGAGGAGCUAAGUCAGAACAUGGUAAGGAUACUGGAAGCUGCACUUGGACAAAAGAAAGU
rnacentral:ncRNA from 1 species